GGGAUAAAGAGUUGGCUUACAAUCGCCACUUCACACAAAUAACAAUUUAAACUUACAUCAUCCAGAGUACAAUCAAAAGUCCUAUUAUGAAACCAAAAUAAAGGAAGACAACCCCAAAUGGUAGAUCCCCGAUCGCCCCAACUGGGCUCCACUACUGAUCCUCCGGAAAAGUUACAUAACAACGACCAAGAUCUUCGUCGAGCUCCCACUUGAGCUCGGUUGUGUCACCUGCACUGGUAUCACCGGCACCUGCAACUGUUUUGGAAGUAACCGUGAGUCACAAGGACUCGGCAAUCUCACACUCGCGAGAUCAAGACUAUUUAAGCUUAUGGGUAGGGUAAGGUGAUGAGGUGGAGCUGCAGCAAGCACUAAGCAAGUAUGGUGGCUAACAUACGCAAAUAAGAGCGAGAAGAGAAGCAACGCAAUGAUCGAGAAGCUAGAAGUGAUAAAGAAGUGAUCCUGAAACUACUUACGUUCAAGCAUAACACAAGACCGUGUUCACUUCCCGGACUCCGCCGGAAAGAGACCAUCACGGCUACACACGCAGUUGAUGCAUUUUAAUUUAAGUCAAGUGUCAAGUUCUCUACAACCGAACAUUACCAAAUUCCCAUCUGCCACAUAACCGUGGGCACGGCUUUCGAAAGUUUAAACCCUGCAGGGGUGUCCCAACUUAGCCCAUCACAAGCUCACGAUCCGUGGAGACAAUCCUCCAUCGCGGGACACCCGAUCAGACUCAGAAUCCCGGUGCACAAGACAUUUCGACAAUGCUAAAACAAGACCAGACAGACCGCCUGAAUGUGCCGACAAACCCCGAUAGGAGUUGCACAUAUCUCAUUCUCAGGGCCCACCGGAUGAGCACUCCGUACAACUAAAACCAGCCAUCAAGUUUCCCCGAGGUGGCGCUGCAAAGGACUCUAGUUCGGACCAACACCCAUAGGAGCACUGGCCCGGGGGGUUUAAAAUAAAGAUGACCCUCGGGCUCGCGAAAACCCAAGGGAAAGUUAUAGGUUGUUAGGCAAAUGUAAAACCAAGGUUGGGCCUUGCUGGAGGAGUUUUAGUCAAUGCAAACUAUCAAGAGGGUCCCAUACCCCUCAUCGUGUUAGGGACGCAAAAUCAAGGAACAUAACACCGACAUGACGGAAACUAGGGCGGCAAGAUUGGAACAAAACACCAGGCAUAAGGCCGAGCCUUCCACCCUUUGCCAAGUAUAUAGAUGCAUUAAUUAAAUAAUAGAUAUAGUGAUAUCCCAACAAAUCCAUGUUCCAACAGGAAACUACAUGCACGACACCUGCAAGUAGCAAUGCUAUAAGAGGGGCUGAGCAAAAGCAGUAACCUAGCCAAACAACAGUUUGCUAGGAUGGUUGAAAAAUGUUAGAGGCUAACAUGGCAAUUUGGGAGGCUUGAAAAACAAGUGGUAGGUAGCGCGACAUAACGAUAGAGCGAAAAACUAGCAAGCAAAGAUAGAAGUGAUUUCGAGGGUAAUGGUCAUCUUGCCUAAAAUCCCGCAAGGAAGAAGAACGAGUCCAUGAAGAAGACAAACGGACGUAGUCGAAUGAAUCCUCACAAACGCGACAUUGCCGGAAACUAACAAGAAGCAACUCCGGAAAGGAGCAAACAACAUUGUAAACAACCAUCACUUAAAUGUGGCAUGAUGCACAAUCAAGUAUGAUGCAUGUCCGAUUUAAUGAGGCAUGGCAUGGCAAAGUGCAACAACCAAUACUAGAAAUUAAGUGGAGCUCAAUAUGCAACGAGUUGCCUAUUGGCGAAACACCACAAGACUUAUUUAGUUCUCUCUUGGUUAUGUACUCGUCAAUAUUAAAUGUUGUUAAACAUGGCAAGAAGUGAAACAUAUAUAAACUAACUAUUUAGGCAAGUUUAAAUGAGGCCAGAAAUAACAAACAACAAAUCCGAAAAAUCCUCAUGUGCAUAUUUUGGAUUUGCUACUGUUCUUCCCUAAACCAUAUUUUAGAGUUGUUAAACAUGUAACAUGAGUGCACCAUGUUAAACUAGGCAUUAUUCUACCCCAUUUACAUAUAAAGUUUAUUUAAAACCGAGCUACGAUUAAUUAGUUAUGAAAUAAAGCAUUUUAACACGGCAAUAUGCAAAUUAAAUGCAAACAACAUUUUAAACAUUUUAAACAUGGAUGAGAGUUGGAUAUUAUGAAACUAGAUGAAAUUCUAAACAUUCUACAUAUAUAAUGUUUUUACAAAUGAUGCACGUUUAUUUAGUUAUUAAAUGUAUGAAUAGUAAGGUUUUUUCUACAAAACUGUACAUCCUGGGAUAAUUGGGAAAAUUCGUUGAGCAGAAGAGAAAAAAAAGAAUACUGGGCCGGAUUGAGAAGCACAGUGUAGAUCACUGGCGGAUUAGGCCCAAGCGCGUGGGUGACAGCGUUGAAAAAGGAAAACAGAGGAAAAUGCGAGGAGCCUGGGACUCGAUCCCAGGAACUCCUGCACAGAGCAAGGAAUUCUGACCAGUCUGGCUACUACUGAAUUCGUGAAGAAUCACAGUGGUAAUGCUAAAUGGACUAUAAAUGCCAGAACGGAUCUAGGAAAAGAAAGAAGUUUCAGUUACGAAGGAAGUUGCUCACAGCGGGGGAAAUAACAAGGCCGGCACCCAUGGCGGCAGGGAACUUGGCGCGGCGACGGUGAACUGGGGUCGCCGGGAUCCGAAGCGGCGGGGUCGAUCUCGGCCAGAUCGAUUCAAAACGAGGCAUGGAAGCCGGGGUGCUGCGGAAGAGGCCUGGCAGUGGGGAUGUGCUCCAGCGAGCUGUGGUGGAUCGAGGUGGUCCACCUGGCGGGGACGAGGAAGAUCGGGCGGUUCUGGUGGUGGAGACGAGGUCCUGUACGCCGGUGAUGGUACUCUGGUGGUCGGGCGGACGAGGCCUCGGGUGCUCGCGGCGCUUGUCCUCCUCUGCACUGCUUCGAUGCAGAGAAACCAGAGGCAGAGGCGAGGUGGGCAUGGCGCGGCAGAGCUCGGGCCCUGGGAUGCUGGCGAGGUGGCCAUCCGGGCGAGAAGACGAGCACGGGGGGUGGCCGGAGGACGCGGACCGGGGCCCUUAGCAGGGAAGCGGCGGCCAGCUCCUGGUGGUUGUGGUCGACGCCUUGGUCCCGGCAGGUUGGCGCGCGAGCCGGCGAGGAACUCUGGCGAUGGGUGACUGACGGGGCGAGCGCCAGCAAUGGGUAGAGGGAGGCGGAUCGGGUGGAGCUCAACUCCGGCGAGCUACUGCUCGUUGUCGGCCGGACAGAGACGGGUCGAGGGCGGCGGCGCUCCUGAGAGGCCGGCGCAGGAGAGCUCCAUCUUGGCGGCGCGGGAGUGCGCGGACAAAGGCGGCUGCGAGGACUCGGUGAUGUUGGUCUUCGGGAAGGACAAACGGGAGGCACGGGAGCUUGGCUCCAUGGAAGUGCUCGAGAGGGAGGGGAUCCAGGUGCGGUUCCUGCCGAUCCAAAAAGUGAGGGAGGCUGCGGCUUUGCUGUGGUUGGGCGGCAACGGAAAACAAGAGAGGCACGGGAGGAUGGUGGUUGGUUGUGGGUGAUCCCGAAGGGGAUUGAGCGGGUG
rnacentral:rRNA from 1 species